ensembl:lncRNA
AGCAAGAAUAUUAAAAUGUGGGCUGUGAACUUGAUUAUUUCUUCUAUAAAAUCAUGUUGAAGCUCAAGAGUGAACUUUUUGGCAGCCGAGAUCAGUGAGUGAAAGCUGUAACACUGACAAACAGCAAAAGUGGCAACGGCUGUUUUUUUUUUUGCAAAAGGAGGAGAGAAGGGUUAAAGCAAAUAAUGAGAAACAUUUGAGCAUACUGCAGGAUGCCAUGCAUGACUCUGCACUGAGUUUAUCUGAACUGCAUUGGCCUUACUUCCUCAGAUAUCCGACACCAUCCAUAAAUAAAAGAUAAUGAAAAUUGCUCCUUUUUCAAAGUCAGUGGUCCUGAUUAAUGAAUUAAUUAACGCCCAGACUGUAGUUUCUGCUUGGCACAAAUAAUACUUUUAUAUUUAGUUGUAAUAAAGAUUGGACUGUUUGUAUCGUGUGUAUUUUAUCCUGUUUUUUCCAGUCCAAGCUUUGUGAAUUCUGUUGUCCACAGCACUACAAAUCUGAUUAUUAAAUGCGAUCUUGCUAUUCCUGCAUUUAACAGAAACUGAUUACUUUGAUUCUGCCUAAAACAUCUGAGCUAUUGGAUUGACUAUAAUGGGAUUUUUAAUGAGAUUCUGUUGUUAUUAUUCAGAGGUUGAAGUGUGCUGACUUUAAAGGUCCCUUAAGUUUUCCACAGAAGCACUGCCACUAGCUUGGUUUGUUUUAGUGAAAUGGAUUGCCAUUAAAUGAGAUUCUCAGAGCCAUGCCCCCCUCAGAGGGAAUCCUAAACACUAGAGCUGUUAACUUUUCAUACGGCGGUGAAGUUUCUCACAGCGGAGCUGCUUUCCCAGGCUCACUCUCCCACACCUGCAAAACAUUAUUCAUCAGGAUGCUGUGUACUUAAGGACCAGCUGUGGCUGUGCAUCUCUGCCAGAAUCUUGGACCGCGACCUGCUCACUCACCAGAAGGACCUACCUGUUUCAGCCAGUUCCACUCCCUGCGUCCACCUCAGCCUGGCUCACCUUAGUGAAAGUCUCAGGUCUCACAUGUGCCUGCCUGCUCUCCACCUUACCAGCUUCCUCAUCUCUGGAACCCAGCCUGCCCUCUGACAUAUCCCCUCACUACCUCCAUUCUCUGGAUCUCAAUUAAGAUAAGCCAACUCAGUUAUAACAAACAACGUUCCCUCAUUACUCUCCAUCAGCCAGUGCUAACUCAGUUUCUCCCCAUCCACAGACCCUUCCAGAUCCUCAGCAUUCUUACCAUCAUUGCCUGGCUCUGUUCUCCCUGGUUAUGUCUGCACUUUAUAAAUAAACAUCUUAAUCUGU